AGCGAACGUUUGCGGCGGGCUUAACACAUGCAAGUCGAACGAGAAUCCCUUCGGGGAGGAAAGUGGCGCACGGGUGCGUAACACGUGGAUAACCAACCCAUUGGUUUGGGACAACACCGGGAAACUGGUGCUAAUACCAGAUGUGUCGCAGCUGUCUUCAGGCGGUUGCGAGAAAGGCCCGCAAGGGUCGCCAACGGACGGGUCCGCGUCCCAUCAGCUAGUUGGUGAGGUAAUGGCUCACCAAGGCAAAGACGGGUAGCUGGUCUGAGAGGAUGAUCAGCCACACUGGAACUGAGACACGGUCCAGACUCCUACGGGAGGCAGCAGUGGGGAAUAUUGCGCAAUGGGCGAAAGCCUGACGCAGCCACGCUGCGUGAGCGAUGAAGGUCUUCGGAUCGUAAAGCUCUGUGGGGGGAGAAGAAGAAAGCCGGUGAAGAGCCGGCCCUGACGGUAUCCCCUUAGCAAGCACCGGCUAACUCCGUGCCAGCAGCCGCGGU
rnacentral:rRNA from 1 species